GUAGGUGGCAAGCGUUGUCCGGAGUUAUUGGGCGUAAAGCGCGCGCAGGUGGUUCUUUAAGUCUGAUGUGAAAGCCCCCCGGGCUCAACCGGGGGAGGGUCAUUGGAAACUGGGGAACUUGAGUGCAGGAGAGGAAAGUGGAAUUCCACGUGUAGCGGUGAAAUGCGUAGAUAUGUGGAGGAACACCAGUGGCGAAGGCGACUUUCUGGCCUGUAACUGACACUGAGGCGCGAAAGCGUGGGGAGCAAACAGGAUUAGAUACCCUGGUAGUCCACGCCGUAAACGAUGAGUGCUAAGUGUUGGGGGGUUUCCGCCCCUCAGUGCUGCAGCUAACGCAUUAAGCACUCCGCCUGGGGAGUACGGUCGCAAAGACUGA
rnacentral:rRNA from 1 species